UACGUAGGGAGCGAGCGUUAUCCGGAAUUAUUGGGCGUAAAGGGUGCGUAGACGGGGAAUAUAAGUCGUUUGUAAAAAUGCUAAGCUCAACUUAGUAGGGCAAACGAUACUGUAGACCUAGAGUACAGCAGAGGCAAGUGGAACUUCAUGUGUAGCGGUAAAAUGCGUAAAUAUAUGGAAGAACACCAGUGGCGAAGGCGGCUUGCUGGGCUGAUACUGACGUUGAGGCACGAAAGCGUGGGGAGCAAACA
rnacentral:rRNA from 1 species